CACAAAGUCAGUGGCCUAACGCCGUGCUGGUGCACGCCGACGAAGCUGUCUUGUCGUCCAGUCGAUCAUCGUUUCGAAGAAACCGGCGGGAAUCGUUUGGGGCGGUAAGGUCUACAAGCUGCUUAACGCGGGGCGAGCGAACGAAUCUCUCUUACUUCGAACGGAAACGACCACGUCUUCGAUGAGCUAGAGUGUGCGCGAAGGUGAUAAAGAAUCAAACUAGGGAGGGCAGACAAGAUAGAACCCGCAAUUCAACUUUAUCGAUCCUCUAAACCUCGUCUUUUCAGCAACUUUAGAAUUUAUCAAAUCAGUUAAGAAACUUGGGGAACUGGGAGAGUGUCUUAAGCCGCCUUCUGUCUGUCGGUUGUGGCUUUAUUUUUGCAUCGGAACCG
rnacentral:misc_RNA from 1 species